CCUACGGGAGGCAGCAGUGAGGAAUAUUGGUCAAUGGGCUUACGCCUGAACCAGCCAAGUCGCGUGAGGGAAGACUGCCCUAUGGGUUGUAAACCUCUUUUGGCAGGGAGCAACGCCGGCUACGUGUAGCCGGACUGAGAGUACCUGAAGAAAAAGCAUCGGCUAACUCCGUGCCAGCAGCCGCGGUAAUACGGAGGAUGCGAGGGUUAUCCGGAUUUAUUGGUUUUACAGGGUGCGUAGGCGGAAUGCCAAGUCAGCGGUAAAAUCGCGGGGCUCAAUCUCGCUCCGCCGUUGAAACUGGGGUUCUUGAGUGGGGGAGAAGUAUGCGCAAUGCGUGGUGUAGCGGUGAAAUGCAUAGAUAUCACGCAGAACUCCGAUUGCGAAGGCAGCAUACCGGCGCCCAACUGACGCUGAAGCACGAAAGCGUGGGUAGCGAACAGGAUUAGAUACCCGUGUAGUC
rnacentral:rRNA from 1 species